GACGAACGCUGGCGGCGUGCCUAAUACAUGCAAGUUGAGCGCUGAAGGUUGGUACUUGUACCAACUGGAUGAGCAGCGAACGGGUGAGUAACGCGUGGGGAAUCUGCCUUUGAGCGGGGGACAACAUUUGGAAACGAAUGCUAAUACCGCAUAAAAACUUUAAACACAAGUUUUAAGUUUGAAAGAUGCAAUUGCAUCACUCAAAGAUGAUCCCGCGUUGUAUUAGCUAGUUGGUGAGGUAAAGGCUCACCAAGGCGAUGAUACAUAGCCGACCUGAGAGGGUGAUCGGCCACAUUGGGACUGAGACACGGCCCAAACUCCUACGGGAGGCAGCAGUAGGGAAUCUUCGGCAAGAGACGAAAGUCUGACCGAGCAACGCCGCGUGAGUGAAGAAGGGUGUCGGAUCGUAAAACUCUGUUGGUAGAGAAGAACGUUGGUGAGAGUGGAAAGCUCAUCAAGUGACGGUAACUACCCAGAAAGGGACGGCUAACUACGUG
rnacentral:rRNA from 1 species